rnacentral:lncRNA from 1 species
CACGGCGUCACCACUUCACUCAAGGUCAUGCUCUUUGUAGCGGUGGCAUUAUCGCUAUCUGAGCCGGGUGGUGUGAAGCCGGGGACGACCCAUCAGCCAUCACUACUCCGUGUACUACUGCCGAAUAAAAUUUGGCACAAAUAAUUAGAAGAAGCACUGCUAUGUACACAGUCACCAAGCAGUGCUGAUGUCAAGAUAACUUUACAGGUAUAGUCUCCUUUCCACAGGUACCACUGCACUGACAAGGAUUAAGGAAUCAGCCUCACAGCUCUACCUGAGAAAUUACUACUGACAACUCUCCAGUCAAAAAACUCACUGCCCAUCAUAUGUCAGUCUGUUGUGCGGUUCCUGCCUGUCCUGCACACCUCAACACCAAGUUUGUAAAAGCAAACUCAUGGGAAACAAACAUUUGCAUCACAAAAUUGACCAACAAAUGCAUUUCUUGUCCAAUGAUACAUGCAGCAUUUUCUGAGCAAUCUGAUAUGACAGCUGACAACAGUGGCAUAACACAGGUCAGUACUCACUAACUUAGCUGGAAGCAAUUCUGUGGAAGCCAUCCUGAGUAAAUGUUAAAGAAAUUCAGACUACAUUUGUCAUGAAUUAGUCAAAUAUCAAAAGAAUGAUCAGCAAAACUAUCAUAAAAACCUAAAAGCAGCCAUAAAAUGAAGCCAUUACUAAAAACACUGAAGAAACAUUUAAUAGCUUCACCAGUCUCAACAACUUAAUCAUUUAAGAGUACUUCCUUUCAUCUCAUUUUAUAAUUCAAUAUUCACACAGUCUAAAGAAUCUUUCUCUGCCUGUCACACCAGCAUGAGGUGCCUCUACAAGACACCAGGUGAAGUGAGCAGACAUAAAUAUUUGUCUCCAUAUCCUACCAUUCAAAUAACUUUGGUUUCCUCUUAAAAUAAGUGGCAUAGCGUGUUGAACAUCAACAGAACACAAACAUGUUAGCCCUGCUUUUGGAACCAAUAAGCAUGAACACAAUAAACAAAAUGCUCCCAUAAUAUGCAAUGAACACAAAUAAUACAUCAAGAUUUGUGACAUGAACUAGUACAGCAGUCACAGAGUUAGUCAAAUUGUUAUAUAUAUAUAUAUAUAUAUAUAUAUAUAUAUAUAUAUAUAUAUAUAUAUAUAUAUAUAUAUAUAUAUAUAUAUAUAUAUAUAUAUAUAUAAAUCACUGUGACAAGUUUGUAUAUGUCUAUAUGAUAAUGACAGUUAUCAGGUGCAUGAAUGAAAUGGGUUAUCACAAUUUUAAAUGCUUACCUUAUGUAUGUUUCUGGAAAGUAGUAGUAGUAAUAGUAGUAGAAGUAGUAUAAGACACCUUGGACAACAGCUCUAUUCUACAUCAUCAAGGUAGCAGUGUAGAGAGUGGGGGAGUUCAUUCAGACAAUCUUGAUCUCACACUCAGGAAACUCAGAGUACUUGUGUUUGUACUUGUUGUAGAGGUCCACCACUGCCUUCACAUACUUCUCAUGCAGUGCCACAAUCUGCUCUUUGGUGGGCAUCUUCACUUGUGGCACAUCUAUGGGGGUCCCAACUGUGUGGGUAAACAGACAAAUGGAAUGUUAAUUUGUUUUUUUAUGUCCAUGGUUUGCUGUCCACAAGAUAAGCACAUAUCCUCUAUUCUCAUUUACUCCAUCAACACCACACUUAAUCAUCAACAAUUUCAGCUUUCCCACUCAGCCUUCUUUCCUCCUCAAACAUAUUAAAAUUUCUCCUAACUCUUUCCUGAUUAGCAAAAUAAACUUGUGUAAAUAAUUAAAUUCUUAUAAAGAAUAAUAACUUAGUACUAAAGUAAAGAUCCUGUUAUCACAAGCACACUUCCACUUAUAAAUAAAUCAGCCAUAAGUGUACAUAUACGUACAACAAAAUUAUGCUCUGAUAAAGAUACAUACAGAGUCUGCAAUGCUAACUCACCCACAGUGUAGAUGGGUUUGCGGAAGGGAACGAUGCCAAAACUGUACUGGAAGAUACCACGUCCGAUGAACAAACAAGGCGCCAGGCCAAUGAUGCUCUGCAGGAAGUUCUGGAAGCGGCGGAUGAGGGAGCCCUCUGGGUUAGCAACUUGGUCAUAGAUUUCAUUCUCCCCGAAGGAAAACAUUGGUACAAGUGAGGCCCUGUAAAUCAAUGAGAAGAUUCAGUGUUACCAACAACCUGCAAUUCUUUGUCUCUCAACUACUCAAUCUGUGGUUUCACUUAUGUUAAGAUGGGAGACUAUCACAGCUGAGAAAUGACUAUGGAUUAAAUAAUGUGGAGGAUAUUGUCUGAUGAACAUGAAUAACAGUUAAUAACAAUACUAACCACACAUUAUCACAGCUUGAAUGCCAUACUAGUUUACUUACCCGUGUCUCAGAGCCAUUUUGCAAAAUCCUUUGCGCUUGCUGAGAUGGAGACAAACUUCUCCAGGGUGACAGUCCAGGGACUCCUUGGCUCCUCCCACCACGAGGCAGAGGGCACGGCCCGUCCCCUCCCGGCCUAGCAGAUAGUCCAUGCUCUCCCGGGUGGCACUCACAGCACCUGCAGGAACAGAACACACACAGGACAUUAUGACAAACAAUGUAAAAGUGACCAUUACAUUUCAUUAUUCAGUUAUAAAACACUUUGAGAUCCAUUUCUAUGCCUUUAACAAACAGGAAAUAUUAAUGUUUUCUUAAAACAAAAUAGAUCACAGACUAUACACUUCAAUCAAUUAGAUGAGUAACUGAAAAUAAGAGGACUAAAACUACUUCCUAAAACUUAGAAUAAUAGGAAAGGCAUUGUAUGAAGUACCCAGAUACAUACAUAUUCAGUAAAAAUGUGUGAUCAAUGUACUAUAUAUUGAAAAGACAAAGGCAACCAUACAAGAGAAAACUCAUUUCUGGGCCUCAGCAAUUUAAGGCAUCCAUCUUCACCAUUUUCUUGUUCAAUACAAGGGUCACAAUAAGCAACCAAAAUGUGCACAUCAAGGCACACAGGUGAUGGGCCUGUGCUCCAAGCCUCGGUAUGGCAGCGACAGGAGAUUUGUGGGGAUGCAUGCAGCGUGGGAGCAUACUAACCCGAGGCCAUGAAGAACUCUCUGUAGAAGGGAAGGAGGAAGUGUCCCUCCAGAGUAAGUAGGUGGGGAGUGAAGCCCGGAAAGUUCUGUUUGAGGUGAAAUGCAUCACAGGUUAUACAUCAUUUACAAAAAAAAGGCACAGCACUGUUUCAACCACUAUCUGCUGAGGAAGCUUACUCAUUUGUACUCACGUCUGGAUUCAAAGAAAGCUUCCUUCAGAAAUAGAGGAGAUAUGAGGCUUCACAACUCCAAAGCUUUACAAGAUUAAUAUUAUUGAUGCAGCAUCCUGGACAGCCAUUGCAUGCAUUUACUCCACCACCCAAAAUAUUUUUACACUGUAUAUAACUAAUGAGUGAUGACAUAAUUGUAGAUAUACCUGAACUGAUCUCCUCCUAACUGUUCACUUCUUCCUUAAAUACUGCAGAUGCUACAGAAAAAAGCUGAAGCCAUUUCUUAAAAUGUUUUUAAUGAAAGCAAAGGAACAUUUUGCAUGAAGAGAAAAAUGUUCUCCUUUUCAAGUGGAAUGUAGUAUGCUGCUGUUUAAAAUUUAUGAAUUAUGUGCAUGCAUCAUAAAUCUAAGAAUGGCAAUUCCCUUUUCUCAUCAUGGUAAGGUAUGAACUGGUGUGGCAAGAGUCAUAUGAUGUAAGUAGCUGAAUAUACUACACUACACAUUAGCACAGAUGAUGUCUGGCAAUACACAGUGCCACACACCAACACAUUCCCUGGCAGUCACCUUGCUGAAGUUUGUGCCCUCGGUGGCAAAGUUGCAGAAGGCGCCGGCGGAGAGGAUGCCGUGAGGAUGGUAGCCCAUGAUGUAGUUCUUGGAGGGGUCCAGCUCACAGGUCUUGAUCAGAUGGAUGGGGAAGAAGUCACGGUAGUGCUUCCACAGUGGUAGUCGUCGCACCCACUCCACUCUGGUGUGCAAGACAGUUGUGGUUAUUACUAAAAGCACCACAACAAACAUUACAAGGUCUCCUGAACUGUGGCACAAAUUAAGGAAAACUGCUCUAAAUUAAAGAAAAAUUGCUAAAUUAGCUAUAUAAAAUAUCUCAGAAGUGUAUAUAAGUGAUCUUUAUGCACCUUUAGACUUCAGGACAAAUAAAGAAAAAUGCAAACACAGACACAAAGUGAAAGAAAACACAACAAAACUGAAAACAUCCAAAUAACAAAGCUAAUAACUAACAAUAAAAGUAAACAAGAUGCCAGGAAAAGUUCUCAUCUUGAGCUAAUUGAUAACUCUUCCUAACACAUGUACUGUAUUUACUUCUUCAUCAAGACUAAUUUGAAAAGAAAGCUAAGAAGAAUGUGAUCAAAGUGUAUGGAAUGUGAGGAAAGAAUGAAGUAUUUCUGAUGCAAAUGUCAGCAUUUAAAUGGAUAGGAAAGUGGGUGACAGGUUCAACACAUAAACAGUCCAAGGGAGAAGAGUGACAAAACAUUCACUUCAUUGCUAUUCAAUUUGUUCAUGGGAAGUGUUGGUAGAGAGAUGAAAGGAAAGUUGGUAAUAUCUGUAGUAAAUUGGUGUACUAAACAGAAGCUGAUUAAAAUGUUCUUUGCAGAUGAUACUGUGUUGAUAGUAAAAAAUAAAAUAUGUAGAAAUUGAAAA